UUCACAUGUUGGUAAACAUACCUUUUAAUAUUAGUGCAACAGGAUGUUAAUACUUCUUUGAGAAGUAUAUUUACAUUAUAUUUACAUAGAAGGAGAUGACAUCAGUUCAUUGCAGAAGGGAUGAUACUAUUUAUGAUGAAUGACAGAGGUGGAAUAAUCCAGAGUGUUUAUUUCAGAUUGAUAAACAGGUUCUUGACAGCAUGGACAGGAACAAGAACAAGAAAAAAAACAAGAACAAGAAUGAAAACAGGAACGAGAUCAAUAAGGCAGAUAACCAAAAGAAUAAGAACAGGAAUGAAAACGAGACUGAGACCAGGAGUGUGAAUGAAUACUAUGAGAACUGCACCACAGACCUGCUGAAGUUCAUCAGGAACAUGGGAGAGCAUUUUGAAGAGAAGGAUGAAAAGGUGAAGGAAAUAAUUAAGGAGCCUGCUGAGUAUUUCACAAAAUGUUUUCCCAAACUGAUAGUUCAUGUCUACAACAUUUUACACAGUAUAAACCACACCAAACAUUUUCCAAAGAUUCAGACUCCACCUUAGCUAUAACGCAUUUAAUUGCUUCAGAUUGCAUUGCCAAAACCCUUUGAUGUGCUUCUUCUUCCUCUUAUUUUCUUAACUGCCAACAGGACUUAGACAAGCUGAGAUAGUGUUGAAUACAGAGCACAGACCUCUGAAUUUAGCAUUAAAGCACUUGGAGGUAAGGAUACCAGCUUUAGGUGGGCAAGGUUCUUUGGAUAGAUGUGAUAGCUUUUAUUAGACCAACUGAGAAGUUUGAAAAAAGUUCUUAGCAAGCUUUUGGGUGCAGUCACCCUUUGUCAGGCAUAGGGAGUCUCUGCUGGUCUGAGACUCCAAGGAAGACUCCCUGUCGACAGCUACAGCCAAAAACCCAGCAGCAUUUUUAGGUGGAAGUAACUGUGUUAAGGAAAGAAAUGAAACAGUGCUGAGAAGAUAGCAAAACAUGGAAUGGUCAUAAGUUUGUGAGGCAAGACAGAUUCUGUUCUAAUCCUGGAUGUCACUGACUCAGCACUUGACCUUGAGCAAAUCCUGCAUGAGAGAGGCAACACUGAUAUUUAUCCACCUACCUCACAGAAGUGUGGUGAAAAUGGGUUAUGUCUGUAAAAAACUUGGAAUGUAUGAGGCGCUAUGGAAGAUUAAGAAAGAAAAUCAUAGAAUGAUAACCUUAUGGUCAUGCUUUGAAGUGUCUGGAGCAUAUAGAUGGCCAGUGAUAGAAAUUGCCUCAAAAUCUUUAUGGUUUUAUUACCUUCUCCUCCCCUUCCCUGCAACAGUUUAUACCCCCAAUCCCUAUUUCCUGCUGACCACCCCCUUCAUAUACCAUUAAACCAUUAGCAGUUUAGAAGCCAGGGGAUGUGCACUUCCUUGGUUACAUGGUCCAAACUGCACAGUGAACAAAGUUCUGCAUGCACUGUAAAUCCCCACCCACAAGGACUCCUUGUUGGGUGUCGCUGCCAGGCCCCUAACUCAGUCACUCAGCUGCUUGUCCUAGUCACUCCUCUCCUCUCCUCUUCUUCCAGCCCCAGAAGGACUGGAAUAGGUAGGAGUGUGUACACCUGUGGCAUGGAGAGGGACUCAAGCUUCUGUUGAAGAACAGAAGAUGGGGGACAGAUUCCACAGUGACAGUCUCCACUAGAGGCGCACUGAAACAUCAGUCCAAUAUUGCAUUGGCACCAAUAUAAAGAAAGUUGUCUGUAUUGGAAAUCGACCGUAUCAGGCCGAUAAGUUGGCCAAUAAAAGUCCUGUGCAUGCGCGCA
rnacentral:lncRNA from 1 species